rnacentral:snRNA from 1 species
ACUCUUGUUUCUCUUCAGAUCGUAUAAAUCUUUCGCCUUUUACUAAAGAUUUUCCGGUGGAGAGGAACAGCAAGAGAUUUUUAGCAAUUUUUUUUGAGCCUGCUUAACUGUGGGGUU